UACGUAGGGACCGAGCGUUGUCCGGAAUCAUUGGGCGUAAAGAGCGUGUAGGCGGCCACUUAAGUCCUGCGUGAAAUCUUGCGGCUCAACCGCAAGCGGUCGUGGGAAACUGGGUGGCUAGAGUGCGGGAGAGGAGAGUGGAAUUCCUGGUGUAGCGGUGGAAUGCGCAGAUAUCAGGAAGAACACCCGUGGCGAAGGCGGCUCUCUGGGACGGUACUGACGCUGAGGCGCGAAAGCGUGGGGAGCGAACAGG
rnacentral:rRNA from 1 species